GAUGAACGCUGGCGGCGUGCCUAAUACAUGCAAGUCGAGCGAACAGACGAGGAGCUUGCUCCUCUGACGUUAGCGGCGGACGGGUGAGUAACACGUGGAUAACCUACCUAUAAGACUGGGAUAACUUCGGGAAACCGGAGCUAAUACCGGAUAAUAUAUUGAACCGCAUGGUUCAAUAGUGAAAGACGGUUUUGCUGUCACCUAUAGAUGGAUCCGCGCCGCAUUAGCUAGUUGGUAAGGUAACGGCUUACCAAGGCAACGAUGCGUAGCCGACCUGAGAGGGUGAUCGGCCACACUGGAACUGAGACACGGUCCAGACUCCUACGGGAGGCAGCAGUAGGGAAUCUUCCGCAAUGGGCGGAAGCCUGACGGAGCAACGCCGCGUGAGUGAUGAAGGUCUUCGGAUCGUAAAACUCUGUUAUUAGGGAAGAACAAAUGUGUAAGUAACUAUGCACGUCUUGACGGUACCUAAUCAGAAAGCCACGGCUAACUACGUG
rnacentral:rRNA from 1 species